AGUUCUAUCGGGUAAAGCCAAUGA
rnacentral:snRNA from 1 species